rnacentral:rRNA from 1 species
UACGGGGGGAGCAAGCGUUGUUCGGAUUUACUGGGCGUAAAGGGCUCGUAGGCGGUCUGUCGCGUCGGUAGUGAAAACUCAGGGCUUAACCCUGAGCCUGCUUCCGAUACGGGCAGACUAGAGGUAUGCAGGGGAGAAUGGAAUUCCUGGUGUAGCGGUGAAAUGCGCAGAUAUCAGGAGGAACACCGGUGGCGAAGGCGGUUCUCUGGGCAUUACCUGACGCUGAGGAGCGAAAGUGUGGGGAGCGAACAGG